UUGAUUCUGGUCGUCUCUGAUUGUUCUCUGAUGCUAAAGAUAUUCUGUAAUUCCAGGAUACCUUUGAGGUUAUGGUCAUCAGUUGCGGGGUCCUAGGAACCAUCAAACCAAAGCUUCUGGAUGAGAGAACUCAGAGAUCCUAGAACCUUCACCCAGUGACUGAUGGCAGCAGAGAAUGUUGAAGAUUUUUAGUAAAUGUAACCUAAGAACAGCACUGGGUACAAAAAAAUUCAGGUAAUGUACUGCAUUUUGUAAGGGAGUGUGAGGAGCUGCCCUCGCUAUCGCUAUCGCCAUUAGAAGAUGGCGCUGACAUCCGCUGUCAGUUGGAGUUCACCGUUUAAGCUGUGCCUCUCCCGUGGUGUCAUCUGGGGUGAUGAGCAAACCACCAAUCUCGG